rnacentral:rRNA from 1 species
ACACAUGCAAGUCGAGGGGUAACAGGAAGUGCUUGCACUUUGCUGACGACCGGCGCACGGGUGAGUAACGCGUAUACAAUCUACCUUAUACUAGGGGAUAGCCUUUAGAAAUGAAGAUUAAUACCCUAUAGUAUGUACUUGUGGCAUCACAGAUACAUUAAAGGUUACGGUAUAAGAUGAGUAUGCGUCCUAUUAGUUUGUUGGUAAGGUAACGGCUUACCAAGACUACGAUAGGUAGGGGCCCUGAGAGGGGGAUCCCCCACACUGGUACUGAGACACGGACCAGACUCCUACGGGAGGCAGCAGUGAGGAAUAUUGGACAAUGGGCGAGAGCCUGAUCCAGCCAUGCCGCGUGCAGGAAGACGGCCCUAUGGGUUGUAAACUGCUUUUAUACAGGAAGAAACACUCCCUCGUGAGGGAGCUUGACGGUACUGUAAGAAUAAGGACCGGCUAACUCCGUGCCAGCAGCCGCGGUAAUACGGAGGGUCCGAGCGUUAUCCGGAAUUAUUGGGUUUAAAGGGUCCGUAGGCGGGCAGCUAAGUCAGUGGUGAAAGUCUGCAGCUCAACUGUAGAAUUGCCAUUGAUACUGGUUGUCUUGAAUUAUUAUGAAGUGGUUAGAAUAUGUAGUGUAGCGGUGAAAUGCAUAGAUAUUACAUAGAAUACCAAUUGCGAAGGCAGAUCACUAAUAAUAUAUUGACGCUGAUGGACGAAAGCGUGGGGAGCGAACAGGAUUAGAUACCCUGGUAGUCCACGCCGUAAACGAUGGAUACUAGCUGUUCGGACUUCGGUCUGAGUGGCUAAGCGAAAGUGAUAAGUAUCCCACCUGGGGAGUACGUUCGCAAGAA